AACUUUGACAGCGGCUGGUCCCCGGAAGUUGGACGCAUGCGCCGUUUCUCUGCAUGGUGUGCGUUCUCGUUCUAGCUGCGGCCGCAGGAGCUGUGGCGGUUUUCCUAAUCCUGCGAAUAUGGGUAGUGCUUCGUUCCAUGGACGUUACGCCCCGGGAGUCUCUCAGUAUCUUGGUAGUGGCUGGGUCCGUAUACCAAAUACUACAUUCACCGAAUUCCAAGAAGCCGGGAGGUUCAGCAGUCCUGGCCCUCCACCGUUUUCACCACCUUGCACUCCAUGUGGCUCUCCUUUCCCCUAAUUCACAGGGUGAAGCCAGAUUUGGUGUUGUGUAACGGACCAGGAACAUGUGUUCCUAUCUGUGUAUCUGCCCUUCUCCUUGGGAUACUAGGAAUAAAGAAAGUGAUCAUUGUCUACGUUGAAAGCAUCUGCCGUGUAGAAACGUUAUCCAUGUCCGGAAAGAUUCUGUUUCAUCUCUCAGAUUACUUCAUUGUUCAGUGGCCGGCUCUGAAAGAAAAGUAUCCCAAAUCGGUGUACCUUGGGCGAAUUGUUUGACAAAUGGCAACUGACUUCUUUAGAAUUUUGCAGUUAACAGUAGUAUGUACUCAAAUUGGGGGGAAAAAAACCCUACAUGUUUCUUGUAAAGGCGUCUGACAGUCCUGAGAAUUAUUGAUGGUAAGGAAUAAAAAAUGUACAGAUGACUCAGUGAAGAAACUGAGGCUUCUCUUAUGAAACAAACAUUGAUAAACGUAACUACUAAAUGUUUAUGCCUCUGUAAACCAAAUUUCUUUUCUAGAUAAAAAUAUGUAUUACUACCUGCAAAUUUUCUUCUGGCUGUUUUAGUAGUAUUUUUUUUACAGAACUAAAUAUAGAGUUUGUAUGAUUAGUAAUAUUUCCUGUCCUACAGC
rnacentral:lncRNA from 1 species